UACGUAGGGUGCGAGCGUUGUCCGGAAUUAUUGGGCGUAAAGGGCUCGUAGGCGGUUUGUCGCGUCGGGAGUGAAAACCAGGUGCUUAACACCUGGCUUGCUUUCGAUACGGGCAGACUAGAGGUAUUCAGGGGAGAACGGAAUUUCCGGUGUAGCGGUGAAAUGCGUAGAUAUCGGAAGGAACAUCAGUGGCGAAAGCGACUUCCUGGACCAAUACUGACGCUCAUGUGCGAAAGCGUGGGGAGCAAACAGG
rnacentral:rRNA from 1 species